GGCAAGCGAUAAGUGUCAGCGAGAGAAAAGAAAGACGAUUAAUGGUGAUGAUCUGCUCUGGGCGAUGGCGACGUUGGGUUUCGAAGAUUAUAUUGAUCCCCUUAAGGUGUAUCUGAAUAGGAACAGAGAGAUGGAGGGUGAUACCAAGGGAUCUACAAAGAGUGGUGAUAAAAGGGAUGCUGUUGGAGUUCAACC